UUUUCUUUUUGUUGCCUAUUACAAUAAUAUUAAAACUACCUACAUAGCUUAAAAUUAUGUACACUAUAUUAUUAUAUUCUAUGGAAUACGCAUAUUAUUAUACAGAACGAUUCAUACUGAAAAACAAACGCUCGCGAUCAAACGGUUUAUACGACAUUGAAAAAAAAAAUCGACAAAAAUAUGAUUCUAUUACUUCGGACCGUUUUAUAUAGUUUUUGGAUACCUAUAUAUAUACGUACAUACGACACGCCGUCGCCGAGUACCUAUCGAGAGAAUACUUCGCCUGUCGGAAAAUCGAAUUUGCGCACAAUCAACGAGAUUUCGUUAAUAUUUUUAUUUCGCCGAUGUUUUUAUACCGGCUUUAACUACGCGUUUUCUUGUCGAUACAUAAUAUAAUAUUAUGUUUCCGGUAGAGAGCGUAUAUAUACCUAUAUUGUAUUUUAUAUAUUGGUUAAGUUAUUUUCGACGAUGACGACGACGGAAUAAAAUCGAUUUUAUAGCAUAUAGAAAGAGAGAGAGAGAGAGAGAGAGAGAGAGAGAGAAAAGUGUGAUAGCCCAUAGGGUAAAUUUACGGACAUUAAUAACGUUUAUAACGUAAAUAUAAAUAAAGGUGUAUAAAAUGACAAAAUGUCUAAUAUUAUUGUCCUCCCUGGCUCGAUGGUUUGACAUGUGUUGUAUAGUGUUUUACGAAGACUCGCGUAUUUACAAACACCAUGUAAAUAGCGAAACGUUUCUCGUGGAUCGCUCGGUAGUAUAAUUUUAGAACUAUAUGGUAGAUAUUUCUAUGUCCUAAAAACCUUUAGAUAUUUAUGCAGAUGUGAACGGAAAUACCAUAAUAUGCUUAAGAAAAAAAAAAAAAAAUGUUAAAAUUGCACAUUAUUAUUAUUUACUAGAUAUUAUACAUUUGUACAGCUAAUCCCAACGAAGAACUUAACUAAAUUUGAAACAUGUUUGAAUAAAAAUUUAAACAUGUUGAAUUUAAAUUAAAUUUAUUGAAUUAUUUUGUGAUUCUCGAUUCGUCGAGUUGAAAAUGUCUUAAAAAUGCACUAAAAUUAAUGUAUGCCUUCUUGAAAUUUGCAUUACAAAUCCCAAAACAUUAAAAUAUGCAAAAAGAUACAAGAUAAAAUGUCGUUAUUAUAUGCAAUUAUGAGGUCAUGAAACACAUUUUGGUAUAAAGUAGGUAGCUAUUUUUUUAACCAACCAAUAAAAACACGCAGAAACAUAUCAAUAUUUUCCCUAGUUAAAAUUACGUUUAGUGUAGAUAUUUCUACGCCUUUGUGUAUUUGCCCUGGUUAGUCGAAAAAAAAAUCAAUAGCUAGUUAAUACCGAAGUAUGUUUCACAAACUAACGGUUUUAUAAUAUAAUGAUAUUUUAUUAAAAAAAUAAUAAAUUGUUUUUUGCAUAGGUAUUUAUCGGAAAUUUCGCAUUUUUAAGGCAUAUUUUAGGAUUUCGUAUGGAAUUUCUAAGAAAACUUUUCCACUCUAAAAAUCGUGAAUCACAACGAAAUAUCGUCCGAGAUUUAUAAACUCUGAUAAACGCUGAUAAAUGUUUAGCAGGUAUCCCAGUGAAAAAUCCGGCUACCUGCGGGUAAACACCACGUUUGUAUACGUAAACGCGUGUUCUCGAUAUUCUACAUAAUAUUAUCAGCAGGUAAUAUGCGAUGUUCUUUGACAAUAUCGAAAUAUGAACCGAUGUUCGCGCAGGACGCAGUUCGCUAGGCGCGUAAACACUCUUCGCGCAAAUCGUUUAUGAUGGGGGAGGGGGGCGGGGUCUGGUUAGGCGGCUUCAGACCGUGAUAUAGGUAUUAUUACGCGCGUGCAAAUAAUAACAGCAUUGUAAUCCGUUCGCUUUGGUAUGAUGGUUUGACGCGUAUCGAUUUCAUUAUAGGCAUCGAUAACGUAAUAAUAAUAUUAUAAACGUAUAAACCCCCUCCCCUCCCCCCCGCUAUCGUACUGUUUUAACGAAAAUACUUUGUACCGCGUAAUAACAUUUAUAAUACCCAUAUAUUUUGUUGCACGCUUACGAAUUUCACUCGCGGGGAAACAUCGAUCGACUAUUAUAAUAAACGAUUACGACGCAUACAAUUUUGUUUAAUAAGUUUUCAACUUUUUAUGCGUUAUGUUUCGGCAACGUUCGCGAGCGAACGGUUAUAGCAAAAAAACAAAAUAAAAUAUCUCCAUCGCUACGGUCGGAAUCUGAAAAAAAUAACGUUGUAAACGAAAUAUACAUUAAACAAUAUUGUUAAACUGCAGCAUAUUGCAGCUGCAGGAGGGGUAUUAUAAUAUGUCCGCCGACUAAAUAUAUAUAUAUAUAUAUAUAGGUAUAUAUAGGUUAUGAUAAUAUUUAAUAUUUAUAUAUACAUUUUAGACUACAAUAAUAGCGUUCUAUAUUUUUAAUUAUUUAUUUAUUUUUAAAGCUAAACGGACGUCAAGGAUGAUAGUGUCGAAUAUUAUAAUACAAACGCGUUCUUAACCGCAGCUAUUGUGUUUUACCCGUAGAAAACAAUAAUAUACCAAGUGUAAUAAUAUUUGUGUAAAUACGUCCGAGAGAAAUACUAAUAGUAAAGGCGCAUAACAAACGGAAAAAAAAUUAAUAAAAAGUUGAACAACAUAAUAGUAAUAAUAAUAUAGUAUACAAUAAUAAUAUAAAAUUAAAAAAAAAAAAAAAACCAAA